UACGUAGGGGGCGAGCGUUGUCCGGAUUUAUUGGGCGUAAAACGCUUGUAGGCGGCCACGCUGCGUCGUGCGUGAAAUCUCCCGGCUUAACUGGGAGGGGUCGUGCGAUACGAGCGGGCUCGAGGCAGGUAGGGGGAAGCGGAACUCCAGGUGUAGCGGUGAAAUGCGUAGAUAUCUGGAGGAACACCGGUGGCGAAGGCGGCAUCCUGGACCGGCAUUGACGCUGAGGCGCGAAAGCUAGGGGAGCAACGGG
rnacentral:rRNA from 1 species